rnacentral:sRNA from 1 species
AUUCUGCUCAUGCGGGGAAGGAUGAGAAGCUUCGACCAAGGUUCGACUCGAGCGCCAGCGAGAGAGCGUUGCCGCAGGCAACGACCCGAAGGGCGAAGCGCGCAGCGCUGAGUAAUCCUUCCCCCACCACCA